UGAACGCUGGCGGCGUGCUUAACACAUGCAAGUCGUACGAGAAAUCUUCAGCUUGCUGAAGAGAGUAAAGUGGCGCACGGGUGAGUAACGCGUGGGUAAUCUAUCCUUGAAUCGGGGAUAACGUUGCGAAAGCGACGCUAAUACCGGAUAAUAUCGUAAGAACUUCGGUUUUAACGAUCAAAGAUGACCUCUACCUGUAAGUUGUUGUUUGAGGAGGAGCCCGCGUACCAUUAGCUUGUUGGUAGGGUAACGGCCUACCAAGGCCACGAUGGUUAGCUGGUCUGAGAGGAUGAUCAGCCACACUGGAACUGACACACGGUCCAGACUCCUACGGGAGGCAGCAGUGAGGAAUUUUGCGCAAUGGGGGAAACCCUGACGCAGCAACGCCGCGUGAGUGAUGAAGGCUUUAGGGUCGUAAAGCUCUGUCAAGUGGGAAGAACCUAUCCGGAAUUAAUACGUUCGGGUACUGACGGUACCACUGAAGGAAGCACCGGCUAACUCC
rnacentral:rRNA from 1 species